CAGCAGCCGCGGUAAAACAGAGGGUGCGAGCGUUAAUCGGAUUUACUGGGCGUAAAGCGUGCGUAGGCGGCUUCUUAAGUCGGAUGUGAAAUCCCUGAGCUUAACUUAGGAAUUGCAUUCGAUACUGGGAAGCUAGAGUAUGGGAGAGGAUGGUAGAAUUCCAGGUGUAGCGGUGAAAUGCGUAGAGAUCUGGAGGAAUACCGAUGGCGAAGGCAGCCAUCUGGCCUAAUACUGACGCUGAGGUACGAAAGCAUGGGGAGCAAACAGGAUUAGAUACCCGAGUAGUCCCUGUCUCUUAUAA
rnacentral:rRNA from 1 species